rnacentral:snRNA from 1 species
GUGCUCGCUUCGGCAGCACAUAUACUAAAAUUGGAACAAUACAGAGAAGAUCAGCAUGGCCCCUGCGCAAGGAUGACUCGCAAAUUCAUGAAGCGUUCCGUAUUUUU